rnacentral:rRNA from 1 species
GACGAACGCUGGCGGCGUGCUUAACACAUGCAAGUCGAACGGAAAGGCCCUGCUUGCAGGGUACUCGAGUGGCGAACGGGUGAGUAACACGUGGGUGAUCUGCCCUGCACUUCGGGAUAAGCCUGGGAAACUGGGUCUAAUACCGGAGAGGAGCCAUUUUUAGUGUGAUGGUUGGAAAGUUUUUUCGGUCUAGGAUGAGCUCGCGGCCUAUCAGCUUGUUGGUGGGGUAAUGGCCUACCAAGGCGGCGACGGGGAGCCGGCCUGAGAGGGUGGACGGCCACAUUGGGACUGGGAUACGGCCCAGACUCCUUCGGGGAGCAGGAGUGGGGAAUAUUGCAAAAUGGGGGGGAGCCUGAUGCAGGGAAGCCGCGUGGGGGAUGACGGCCUUCGGGUUGGAAACUCCUUUCGCUAGGGACGAAGCUUUUUGUGACGGUACCUAGAUAAGAAGCACCGGCUAACUACGUG